ACGAGAAAAUGGGAGAUUGGAGGAAGCCAGACAGCUUUCGGUAGAAUUGACUGGACAUCUGCCUGUGAAGAAUAGAGAUGCUCAGAAGCAUGACGGCAGGCUCUCAGCAAACAUGGUCUACUCACCGAAAAAGCUUGCAGAUGCUGCGAUUACUGCUAGGAGAGUCUCCAUGUACCUUUUGGUACUUCUUGAUGCUCCAGUGAAAGACCACGGAUGGGAAUUUCCCAUGACCCCUCUCUUAGGAACAAAACAAAGGUCUAUGAAAAAUCUUUCAGUGAUCCCUACUGCAUGUGCUUCUUUAUUUACUGCUUAUUUCUUGAGACGGCUCUCACAAAGGCCUGUUUUUAAAAGAAUUCAGAGGCAAUCUAUGCACUUUCUUUUCAGUUGUACCCAUCAGGCUGGGAGUCUUGAUGUGCAGAGGUGUGAGACUGCACAUGUGCUACUUAAGUAUGCAGUGCAAAGAGCAAACCAGAUGAGAACAAAUUGCUGUCUUCAUUGGAGGUCAAGUUCUCGCACAAGAAGAAUGAAACAUCCCCCAGAGGACAGGAACCAUGCACGUACCAAGGAACAAAUGAGCUGCCUGGCCUGAAAGUGCUGUCACAGCUCAAGGAAAUAAAAUU